AUUGAACGCUGGCGGCAUGCCUUACACAUGCAAGUCGAACGGCAGCAUGAUCUAGCUUGCUAGAUUGAUGGCGAGUGGCGAACGGGUGAGAAAUACAUCGGAACGUGCCCUGUAGUGGGGGAUAACUAGUCGAAAGAUUAGCUAAUACCGCAUACGACCUGAGGGUGAAAGUGGGGGACCGCAAGGCCUCAUGCUAUAGGAGCGGCCGAUGUCUGAUUAGCUAGUUGGUGAGGUAAAGGCUCACCAAGGCGACGAUCAGUAGCUGGUCUGAGAGGACGAUCAGCCACACUGGGACUGAGACACGGCCCAGACUCCUACGGGAGGCAGCAGUGGGGAAUUUUGGACAAUGGGCGAAAGCCUGAUCCAGCAAUGCCGCGUGUGUGAAGAAGGCCUUCGGGUUGUAAAGCACUUUUGUCCGGAAAGAAAUGGCUCUGGUUAAUACCUGGGGUCGAUGACGGUACCGGAAGAAUAAGGACCGGCUAACUACGUG
rnacentral:rRNA from 1 species